UAAGUAUACCAAUUACAAUUAAACUUUGAUAUUUUUUUUGAAAACAACUAAAAGCUUUAUCAACUUUGAGACACUUUUGCAGUUCUUUUCGCAGAUUUAGCUGGGUAAUAGCUCAUUUUCCUUAAUAAUCCUGGCCCUUUCAACUUAGAUUAUUAAUCGUUUUGGAGCAGCAGGUAAGUCGCUUCCGAGGGGAGCAGCUAAACUGGCGCCGUGGGACAUGGGAUGCCGAAUCCAGGAUGCAGGCAGUGGCUCCACAUCGAUGGCAGAUACUCCCCCAGCUUAGCAAAACUCUCCCCGGGGCACAUUUAACUAAAGCACAGCCAAGGACAGCAUUGAUGAAGAAGUGAGGGGAUGGGCGGGCCCUGCCGAAGGAUGUGGAUGAGGUGGCGAGUAUCCCGGCCGAACUGACUGCUCGUGGCAAUUAUAAAUUGUUGAAAAUAAUUUCAUUAAAUAUGUAAAAAGGCGACGCCGAAUACAGGUGCGUAUUAAACGAGGGCAGUGGGAUCCUUUGGCUGCAGGACUGUGUGUGUAUGUGUGUGUGUGUGUGUGUGUGCUUCGAACUACGUGCCAGCUAUUAACUUUGACCCCCCAUCUCCAGCACUCCAGGACACCAGGAGACGAGGACUCCACGAUACAGGAACCCUCCAGCUUCGUUCCCACAUCCGAUGGCCUCGGAAAAACUUCUCCACUUUGAGGGCACAUUGUGACGAAGAUGUGAUGCCAGUGCCGAAAGCACUAAGUAACUUAUUAGCUCCGGGAAAAGUCGGCUUUUGGGCACAUUCCAUUUGCUUGCAAAUGUAAUGAUUCCGCCAAAUGAAAUUUCAUUCUCGCCGUGCAAUUGUUCAUUUCAUUUCACCUGCCAUGGAGAGUGCUAUUGCAGUCCGGUGCAGGAAACUAAGUUGGCAGCCGAAAUAACCCUUACUGGGCACAAAACGCAAUUGAAAGGUACAGUCUGCACUCCAAAUAAAAGACAGCAAAUAGCCAUAGCAAUGCAGAGAAUCAAUGCGUUUAAAUUAAAAUGAAUUUCAACAAUUGAAAAGCAAUAAUUUAGCCGU